CGAAUGACUCUAAUGGAUUACACUCCCCAACUGAUGGAGCACAGACUCCCGCUCAUCAAGGCUGGGCCUUCUGCCUCUUAAGAUUCUAACUCUUAUUUUUCAGGUGAGGAAACUGAGGCCCAGAGAUUAGCAUCAGGACAAGCAGCGUCUUCUGUCAUCACUUCUGACCACGUGUACCACCGCACUGACACCACCUCUCCGAUGUGGUGUGCCCAGGAGACCCUGAGUUAGCCUACCCUGGGGGGUGGGGAGGUUGCUCCAGAACCUUCCUUGGAAGCAAAACACACUGCUGAGUAAAGAGGGCCUCACAGACAGUGACUUUCUUUCCCACCAGAAGGUGGACACCACGCCAUGCAGGAGGCGGAUGCUGGUGGGGAAAACAUCCCAGGUUUACUCUGGCCUCGGACCAGCAAGGAAGAGGGUGCUCCCAGCACCUUGACCUUCUGGAGUUCCUGAGCUGGCAGACAAGGCAGCAGGCGGUGAUCUGGUCUCAGUUCCACGAGGCCCGCCUGGAAGUCAACAUCAAGGCGAAUGCACCACACAGAUCAAACGGCCCCUGUGAACCGGCAGAGGAAGGGCUGGCCCUCAUCAUUGUUAAGACAGAUGUCCUUGAACACAGGUUGCCAGAUCAAAUACAGGACUCUCGAUUAAAUUUGAAUUUCAGAUAAACACCAAAUAAUUUUUAAUGUAAAGAGCUGCCGAGGUCAGAAGACUUUCCUGAUGUCACUCUCUGAGCAGGACUGGGGCUCACAGACCACAGCUCCAAGCUCUCCCUGACAUCAAACUGCCUCCAGAAUUCUUUACUGAAGCAGCCUGUCUCCAGUCGGACUUCAGCUUCCAAAAGAUCCCAGUAGUCCAUUUAAGUGAGAGAAUACAAAUGGAAGUCUAUCCUUUAAAAUCCUGGGGUUCUCCUGCUGCAGGAGAGAAUGUGUCUUUGCAGUGAGGCCUCCAGAAUAUGCAUCUCUUUCGAGCUGACAUCUGGUCAUUUGAACAUGAACCAGGGGACUUGCUGGAAAUCUGGGGCCAAGCAAACUCAUAACAAAACCCCCAAAAGGCUGCUGUCCCUCACUAGCUUUGUAAUAUGCAAACGCAAAUAAGGAGCUAAGCAAAACGUGAGCUUCUCUAGCAGGUUAAGUGAGGAGGAAGACGGUCUGGGGUUGGCUGGCUGGAGGGCUGGUUGGCUUUCUGGUGCAGGGUUGUGGGAGGAUAAGCUAUAACGUGGGCUGGGCUGGUGCGGCCCCCUGUGGCCAGUCAGUGGAGACACAUCAGGACCUGCCAUUCUGUCUGAUGCAGCCUCAUCCCUUUAAGUGCAUUUCAGAAGAGAAAAAGAGCACAUCAAAAAGCACAACGUUUAAAUUCAAGAACGCCAGCAAGUAUGGACUCCACAGAAGAAUUUCACUGUAACAAUGUCUCUCAAAUUAGACCUGACCGGCUAAGACAGCCUACUAGCAAAGCGCCUUAUUUAAAAACUGGGAAACUGUUUUGUUGCCCUUUCGGUAGGUGGUUGGGAGUGGGGUCUGGCAUCAUCUCUUCCAAACUGA